AACGCACAUUGCGCCCGCCAGUACUCUGGCGGGCAUGCCUGUCCGAGCGUCAUUUCAACCCUCGGGACCCCCCUCCGGGGCGGGACCCGGCGUUGGGGAUCGGAGGCCGCACCGGCCCCCGUCCCCCAAAUACAGUGGCGGUCGCGCCGCAGCCUCCCCUGCGUAGUAGCACACCUCGCACCGGAGAGCGGCUCGGCCACGCCGUGAAACCCCCCACUUCUUCAAGGUUGACCUCGGAUCAGGUAGGAAUACCCGCUGAACUUAA
rnacentral:misc_RNA from 1 species